GGAGUUAGCCGGUGCUUCUUCUGUGAGUGAUGUCCUUCCUGCCGGCUAUUAACCCGCAGGCCUUCUUCCUCACUGAAAGUGCUUUACAACCCGAAGGCCUUCUUCACACACGCGGCAUGGCUGGAUCAGGGUUGCCCCCAUUGUCCAAUAUUCCCCACUGCUGCCUCCCGUAGGAGUCUGGGCCGUGUCUCAGUCCCAGUGUGGCUGAUCAUCCUCUCAGACCAGCUACGGAUCGUCGCCUUGGUGAGCCGUUACCUCACCAACCAGCUAAUCCGACAUAGGCUCAUCCGAUAGCGCGAGGCCCGAAGGUCCCCCGCUUUCCCCCGUAGGGCGUAUGCGGUAUUAGCCUGGGUUUCCCCCAGGUUAUCCCCCGACUACCGGGCAGAUUCCCUAUGCAUUACUCACCCGUCCGCCGCUCGCCACCAGGGAGCAAGCUCCCCGUGCUGCCGCUCGACUUGCAUGUGUAGCUCGCCGCACGCGUCAUCUGAACCGAACGAUACAACUUACUGA
rnacentral:rRNA from 1 species